CGAUAUUUUUAAAAUAUCAUAGCGGUGUUUUUGUUAUAUCAAUAUUGGUACUAAUUGGUAUUAAUAUUAGACUGCUGUACCCAUAUUUUGACAAUUUUACCUAUUAUGUCUGUUUUGUUCACGCAUCGUUGUAAAUAUGACUGAAUUUGACGAGACUGUCAUACACGUGAGAGGUUAAGUGCUAUAAAACCAGGUUCAAUC
rnacentral:lncRNA from 1 species